UACGUAGGGUGCGAGCGUUAAUCGGAAUUACUGGGCGUAAAGUGUGCGCAGGCGGCUUGGCAAGUCGAGUGUGAAAUCCCCGGGCUUAACUUGCGAAUUGCGCUCGAAACUACCUGGCUAGAGUGUGGCAGAGGAAGGUGGAAUUCCACGUGUAGCGGUGAAAUGCGUAGAGAUGUGGAGGAACACCGAUGGCGAAGGCAGCCUUCUGGGCCAACACUGACGCUCAUGCACGAAAGCGUGGGGAGCAAACAGG
rnacentral:rRNA from 1 species